GUGAGUCUCCAUGUGUGAGGUUGUUUUCAGUGCCUAGCCUGAUAUUUGUUUGUAACAUGAAUAUAAACCCAGAGACAGAGAUGUUGGGGCUCAAGCUUCAAGCUGAAGCUCAGAAAAGCAAAGCAGCCAGCCACUAGCUCUUACUAAGCCUGAAAUGGCCAUCCUGCCUCCACAAAUUAUCAGACUGCAAUGCAGACCGCACUGCUCUCCACUGAGCCUCAGACUGCAAUUGCUCAGUUCCUGUUUCCUCCUGCCUUAUAUUCCAGCCAUAUCAUCCUAUUUCCAGCUUCCGAGUUCUGGGAUUAAAGAUCUAGGUUGAAAUCCUCAACUCGAUUGAAGUCAGUACUGGAAGCUCUGGUUGGAGUGUCAGUUGAAACGGAGUAAGUUGGAUCCAGUGCAGUCUAGGGGUUAUGGCCCAAUUUUUUUUCCGGAGCAUCCAGGGAUUGCUGUCAGGCGGGUCUUCAUUGGCUGUGUGGGACUCAAACGGGUAAUGCACUGUAUUAAAUAUGUAAGGUCUUAAAAAAAAGAAGGGAUUUUGAGAGCCCAUCCCAUGUGAAGGGAUGCUCUCUUGACCUGGACACAUGCAGAAGGGCCUAGGCCUGGCCCAGGAUGAUGUGGUUGACUUUGGGAGCCCCUUUUG
rnacentral:lncRNA from 1 species